rnacentral:lncRNA from 1 species
AGGGUAGAAUUUGGCACAUAGAAGUUUGUUUCCUCUGUUUUCUCUCCAUUCUAUUCUAUUGCUUUGGCUCCUUUUGAUUCUUCUCUCUCUCUCUCUCUCUCUCUCUGAAAGGAUGGACUUGGCAUGUUGUCUUUAGAGGAAAUUCCGUUGCAGUUCCACUCUGGGCCUCUCUGUGUCUGCCUCUCACAGUGUUCAUGCGCUCACACAUGUGUACGCACACACACACACAGGAACAUACGUAUACGCCCCCUGCAAUCCAUAGGCAGUCAUACGUUGAAAGCGGAUACAGCAGCCUGCAGGUUUCUUUCUCUACUUCCUGUGUCCUUACUGACUUCCUCUCUCUCUCACCAACUGACAGGACUCAAGGAAAUUGAUACAUUUGAAGGAGCACACAGGCUAAGACGCAGUCAGAAGCAGCACUAUCAUGUCGGACUCUGA